UAUGCAGCAUACGGCCCAGCCGGAUGGUUGCUGCUCCGUGUGGAACGUGUCCUAUCAGGUGUAACAUCUACCAAUGGUUGUACAUGACAGAGACCUCCUCCGCCUCUUUGCUGUCUUACUAGUCAAUCCUUCUGAUCAGGUCCUUUCCUAAAUAGUGAAAGGAUCAUGCCAGCCCACAUCAAACACCUGAUCAAGAGCUUGUGAACCUCACUGCUGCGGACACCUGUGUGAUAUUCCACUCUGACUGGAACCCUCAAAAUGACCUGCAGGCUCAAGCUCGGUGUCAUCGUUUUGGCCAGUCUAAGGCGGUAGAGGUGUACCGUCUGAUCACUAGAAACUAUGAGAGGGAAAUGCUGGAUAAAGCUAGUCUGAAGCUCGGGCUGGACCGUCCCGUCCUGCAGAGCAUGAGUGGGAACAACAACGGGCCGGUCCAGCAGUUCUCCAAGAAGGAGAUCGAGGACCUGCUGAGGAAAGGAGCCUACGCCGCCAUCAUGGACGAGAACGAUGAAGGCAAUCGCUUCUGCUAGGAGGACAUCGACCAGAUCCUGCAGCGAAGAGCCACCAUCAUCACCAUCACCAGUUUGCUUCAAGCAGUGGCUGCACGAGAAAGACGUGGAGGACCAAGAAAUGCUGGCCAGAUUGGCAAAGACCGGAAGAUACAUAACAGAGAAGAUAAUGGAUAUUAACAAGAAAAAUAAAAAAAAUGUUUAUAA